GCAAACGAUGGCUGCAUAAACUGAAGAAGGUUAUUCUCGUUCUUUUGAAGGCAAAUAGUAUGUGACAGAUCUGCAUUAAGUUGAUUUCUUUUGGAUGCUGCAACAAAUUGACUCAGAGUAAGUUGGCCCAUGCCAACUUGCAUUAGCUGCUUUUCAGAGGGUGGAUGGUCAUUUGAUCCUGAAGAUUGAGAAGUAGUCACCGUAGUGGCAAAAUGGACAGCGUGGUUUCUUUCCCUACAGUUUCGCGAUGGGUUUUUUGGAGGAGUUUCACUGCUGGUACAUUGGAAAUGCAAACCAAAGGGAAUUGAAGCAUAAACUAGUUUUUCCAUGAAGAGAGAAGGACAAAAGGUAACCGCUACAAGGUAAUUGUAUACCUUUUCUCUACAAAGAAAUUUAUUUAGUGUGCACAAUUGUAUAGGAAGAAAUGUUUUGAAAUGAGAAAUAUUUUCAAGGAUCUAGGGUGUCAGCCUAAUUUAUUUAUUUUUUUUUUUUUCAAUUGUGUGCAUAUUAAAGUUUUCCAGAAAAAUCAUACCCGGUUAUAACUUAUAUGUAAUGAGCUCAAGAUGAUUUGUUUUUUUGCAACUCCAAUUGGUAUACCCUGAAUUUCACAUAAGUAAUGCGCUUAAUGCGCUGUCAAGAUAAGUAAUGCGUUGUCAACUUCUAGACUCUUAACUCCAAAAGUUAACUUCAGGUAACUCUUUUGGAUGAGGCUUUGGGCCGUUACUGAUGGUAUCUGAGUCCAACCCACCCCAUUCCUUAUACAGACUUACUGCCCAUGGUCAUGAUGAUGAUUUCUUGACAAUGAAUGGAAAGGGCACUGCUGCCCUCUCUGCACAAGGAGGGGAAAGAUCUGAUGCCCAUAAUCUUAUAUCCAGUGAUGCGCUUUGUAAGGCUUAAGAGUCCAGAAGUUAACUUUAGCUAGCAAAUUUGGAUGUGGCCUUGGAUUGUUACAUUGGGAUUCAUCGACUUGCUAAGGUUAUACAUUACAUCUAUUCUGAAGUCUGGAACUGUUUUAUUAUGGAGAUUUUUUCUCAGUUUCGCAUGCUGAUAAUUGUUGGAAAUGAAAAAAGCAUGGUAUAUUUUAUCCUAAUUUCAGUAUGCUUGCUGAUCCUCAGUAUGUUAUACAUGCUUUAUCCUACCAAAUGGAUUCUAUAACUAAUUUUUCUCUUACUGCUAAGCCUUCAAUAGUUAAAUUUUUCUUUGCCUGGGAGUCCCUCUUUCGCUCAUACAAUAAACUCAAUAUCGGUGUCUGCAGAAGAGGUGAGAGUCAUAUCAGUGCUGUUGGUCUAGUUUGUGACAGUAAUGAAGGAUGGACCACAGGGGUUUGCUGGUAAUCUUGGCAUGGGAGAG
rnacentral:lncRNA from 1 species